GAUGAACGCUGGCGGCGUGCCUAAUACAUGCAAGUCGAGCGAACAGACGAGAGUGCUUGCACUCUCUGCCGUUAGCGGCGGACGGGUGAGUAACACGUGGGUAACCUACCUAUAAGACUGGGAUAACUUCGGGAAACCGGAGCUAAUACCGGAUAAUAUUUAGCUUCGCAUGAAGCAAUAGUGAAAGACGGUUCUGCUGUCACUUAUAGAUGGACCCGCGGUGUAUUAGCUAGUUGGUGAGGUAACGGCUCACCAAGGCAACGAUACAUAGCCGACCUGAGAGGGGGAUCGGCCACACUGGGACUGAGACACGGCCCAGACUCCUACGGGAGGCAGCAGUAGGGAAUCUUCCGCAAUGGACGAAAGUCUGACGGAGCAAUGCCGCGUGAGUGAAGAAGGUUUUCGGAUCGUAAAACUCUGUUGUAAGGGAAGAACAAGUACGUAGUAACUGAACGUACCUUGACGGUACCUUACCAGAAAGCCACGGCUAACUACGUG
rnacentral:rRNA from 1 species